CAAGUCGAACGCACCGCAAGGUGAGUGGCAGACGGGUGAGUAACGCGUGGGAAUAUCCCCUUUGGUUCAGGACAGCCCCGGGAAACUGGGAUUAAUACUGGAUAAGAUCUACGGAUGAAAGAUUUAUCGCCGAAGGAUUAGCCCGCGUAAGAUUAGUUAGUUGGUGAGGUAAUGGCUCACCAAGACAAUGAUCUUUAGCUGGUCUGAGAGGAUGAUCAGCCACACUGGAACUGAGACACGGUCCAGACUCCUACGGGAGGCAGCAGUGAGGAAUAUUGGACAAUGGACGCAAGUCUGAUCCAGCCAUGCCGCGUGAGUGAUGAAGGCCUUAGGGUUGUAAAACUCUUUUAGUGGGGAAAAUAAUGAUGGUACCCACAGAAAAAGCUCCGGCUAACUUCGUGCCAGCAGCCGCGGUAAUACGAAGGGAGCUAGCGUUACUCGGAAUCACUGGGCGUAAAGCGCAUGUAGGCGGAAUUGCAAGUCAGAGGUGAAAUCCCAGGGCUUAACCCUGGAAUUGCCUUUGAAACUGCAAUUCUUGAGUAUGGUAGAGGAUGGUGGAAUUUCCAGUGUAGAGGUGAAAUUCGUAGAUAUUGGAAAGAACACCGGUGGCGAAGGCGGCCAUCUGGGCCAUUACUGACGCUGAGAUGCGAAAGCGUGGGGAGCAAACGGGAUUAGAUACCCCGGUAGUCCACGCCGUAAACGAUGAGUGCUAGUUGUUGGCAUUAGCCAGUAACACAGUUAACACGUUAAGCACUCCGCCUGGGGAGUACGGUCGCAAGAUUAAAACUCAAAGGAAUUGACGGGGACCCGCACAAGCGGUGGA
rnacentral:rRNA from 1 species